UGAUUCUUCUUCUGAAUGUCCCUGUCGACUUGUUCAAUCUUUGUUUUAAGUUUUGGGUCUUCAUAAGACCGAAACCUAACAAAAUAGAAGUGAUGGGUUUGUUUCGGUGCAGGCCAUUCAUCGACAGCAUCCUUUGGUAAAUUAGACGUUUCCAGGUGGCCCGUUUCCUUGGACUCUCCAUUUACUCCAUGUGAACUAUCCACCAAGCCAAAUUGGAUUGGUACCUCGACCCCUUGUUCUGAAUUUGA
rnacentral:misc_RNA from 1 species